CAGGUGAGGGCGGUGGGAGCCGGAGCUGCAGCCUGGGGGAGCAAAAGGUGACACGCAGCGAGCGUGAUGUGCACUAUUGAGGGUGCAUCUGCCCUGAAUAUUGAACUGGAAGAAGUUAAAUUGCAGACUGGGGGAGAAUGUGAUGCAUUAUUCGGAUAAUACUUCACAUCCCAGUGUUCAUUUAACAGCACUGGCCUGCAUCCUUGGGAAAUAUCAGCUCUGGGAGAUGUCAGCUUUUCACCACCAGUGGCUGUUCAGGAAGUCUGUAGCAGCUUGUCUUACAGGUGGGUGCUCUGCCCUGAGGCCACGCCUGCUCUCUGCCUCUUCCUGUCCCCGCUCCAGCCCCUCCCUGCCUUGAAAUUGACGAGACAGCCAACAGAGGAAGUAAGUAAGCAUGUAAAGAUGCAUGUAUGGAGACACUGUCCCUUUUCUGCUCCCUUGUGCCCUGUGGAACCAUGUGACUUGAUCAUGAAAACGGAAAAGAGACAUGAGGAGCAGGCGUUUGGAUGCUACAGUGAAGAAGAUGAGGGCUCCUAGGUAUUUGGACACCAAGACCUGCCCAACAAGGAUUCACACCAUCACACAGCCAACCAGUUUUGAAAGCUCAUUUAUGAAUAUGUUGAACAGUACCGGUCCCAGUACAGACCCCUGGGGGACACCAGUAUUUACCUCUCUCCAUUCUGAAAAAUGACCAUUGGAAGACAUAUGGAUGGAAUGGCACUAUGAAUAAAAUGACUCCUUUGUGGAAGCCAUUUUUUUGGUAUAUUUCCAUUACCAUGGAUGAGGUUGAGACUUUUUAAACUGUACUUUGAAAUUCAGCUAUUUAAAAAGGGCCUUUUUUUUUUUUUAUAGGCACUGAAUAAUUUUGGAACACAUGGGUGGAGACCUAGAUGCUUCAGAUGCAGAUGUGUGUAAUGUGGUUAUUGGCAGCAAAAAGGGUCAGAUUCAAUAUAUUUUGGCUCUCUCGACAAAACUAAACUGCCUUAAGCCCUCACCCAGAAACCUGCAAAAACUAAACAGAUGCCCUUAUCAGACAGAACUUCCCCACUCCAAGACUGUUUACACUCAAAUAAAUCUUUACUGGGGAGAAGAAAACAGACAAACUUGGGGAAACACAGCAAGUGAGAGAGUGAGUGUAUGGCCCAUGCCUGCUUGGUGUGGCACUCUAUCACCCUCUAGUGGUAGUUAGAACAGCUAAAGUUGAUGAGUCUGCUAAAGCCUUGGCUAUAAGAGAGAUGUGUCUUUUAGCUCAUACAAUAGAAGCUCAUGCAUUAAGCUCCAGUGAUCACAAGUUUGAUCCUGGCUAACAAUGACAGGGGCUGUCAGCAUUACAUAUGUAAAUUAAGCAUAAAAUACACCCUCUCCCAAGCAAUUUUGGCAGCAGUCCAUCUAACUCCCUUCCCCUGCUGGUGAGACUGUCCCACAGGUAAUAGUCCCUUGGGCCACACCACAUUUACUCCUGGGGGACUUCUGUGCCAAAAAAUUAAAAAUUCGGCACACAAUAUUUUAAAAUUCUGCAUAUUUCAUUUGUCAAAACAACACAAUAUACCAUAAUCUCUUCAGUUUCAAUUAUUUUGGUAAUUUAUUUCAAAAUACCUGUCAACUAGUAUGUCAACAUUACAGACAACAACAACAAAAGAUUCCCCCAGGGGUAGAGAGUUCAAGAAACUGCUAUGACAACCCAAUUCCAGUUGGGGAGUGCUGGAGGGUGCUGUGUGGUGCUUCCCAGAGCCCAGACACCCACACCCCCCUCAGCCCAGCUGUGGGGCAUUCCCAGGGCCCAGACACCCGCAACCCCCUCCUCCAGAGCCCAGCUGCAGGCCACCACCCCCAGUGCACACACUAGCACCGCCCUCGCCCAGAGCCUUUACUCCCCCCAGCUUAUUUACUAUCCCACUGGGGGACACUGUGUGGCCCUACCCUCCCUCACCCUUUGCCAGAUCUGGGUCUCCUGCGCCCUCUCCUGUCUCCGAGUGGAAGAUGAUCAAAGCUGGGCAGCCAAAGUGUUCAGAGCCUCCAUCCACACCAGGCUAGGUGCUCCACUCACUGUGAGCUGGGCUCUGCAGAGUCCAUCAGCCCCUAAUGGCCGCCAGCAGCACUGCAGCCCCAAUUCGGGGGGGGUGGGGGGGAGGACAUGACACACAUGAAAUUCUGUACAUAACAUUAAUUGUGCACAAAUUCUACAUUGCAUAGUGGCACAGAAUUCCUCCAGUAGUACACAUUACCCAUCCACCAAACCGCACUCACAGCAGCAGUCCAAGUAUCUCUGUGUGGAGCUGUCAAAUUGUAGUGUUAAAUCUUAAAAGCACGCCCUCACAAAUAACUUUUUCUGUGCUGUCAUGUAUCAGCCAAAGAUUAAGGAUUCAAAUUUUCUAAAACUUCUUUGAAAAUCAGGCUAUUCAUCUUCAAAGAUGAUGUGCACUGACAGCUUCAGUAGAGUUAAUGACUGCUUAGCUUUUCUGGGUCUGCAUGGGGGAAGCUUCCUAAUAAUCCCUCC